rfam:Microscilla marina ATCC 23134 1099589004167, whole genome shotgun sequence.
GCAGCUGUAGCUCAUCUGGUUAGAGCGCUGGUUUGUGGUACCAGAGGUAGUCGGUUCAAUCCCGAUCAGUUGCC